GAGAGAGAGAGAGAGAUGGAUGAGGAACCUGAUAGAGAGAUGGACUUCUAGCAAUGGUUUUCUAUCCCUAGUUUUCCAAAUCACUAGUGUAGUUGCUCCUUAAACUUUUUCUUUGUUGUAUUUCUUCUUCUCUACCUUUAUGUGGUUAAUAAUUUAUUACUAUGGGAUAUAUGUCUCCCUCUUUAGCUCUUAACUAUAUCUGAAUACCAAAUCUGGUGGUGCACUGCCUGUUUCUCCAUUCAUCUUUCCCUGUAGAUAUUAGACAUUGUUGAAAAAUGAAAUCUUGAUCCAUCUUUAAAAUAAAUAAAAAUCUCAAAAUGAUCCAAAGUAAUUGAAUAUCAAAUUUACAAUUGUUGAUGUAACAUUCUUGAAGUGACAAAAAAAAAAAAAAUGAAAUGAAAUAAAAUGAGAUGAAUACUUAAU
rnacentral:misc_RNA from 1 species